GAUGAACGCUAGCGGCAGGCCUAACACAUGCAAGUCGAGGGGCAGCACAUAAAGUGGUUUACUACUUUUGGUGGCGACCGGCGGACGGGUGCGUAACGCGUAUGCAACCUGCCUCCAACAGGGGGAUAACGGAGAGAAAUUUCCACUAAUACCCCAUAAUAUCAGAAUCGGCAUCGGUUUUGGUUGAAAACUCCGGUGGUUGGAGAUGGGCAUGCGUUGUAUUAGAUAGUUGGUGAGGUAACGGCUCACAAAGUCAACGAUACAUAGGGGGACUCAGAGGUUAGCCCCCCACACUGGUACUGAGACACGGACCAGGCUCCUACGGGAGGCAGCAGUGAGGAAUGUUGGUCAAUGGGGGCAACCCUGAACCAGCCAUGCCGCGUGCAAGAGGACGGCUCUAUGAGUUGUAAACUGCUUUUACAAGGGGAUAAAUCGGUGUACGUGUACACCGUUGAAGGUACCUUGGGGAUAAGGAUCGGCUAACUCCGUGCCAGCCGCCGCAGUAA
rnacentral:rRNA from 1 species